rnacentral:rRNA from 1 species
UACGUAGGGUGCAAGCGUUACUCGGAAUUACUGGGCGUAAAGCGUGCGCAGGCGGUUUUGUAAGUCUGUCGUGAAAGCCCCGGGCUUAACCUGGGAAUUGCGAUGGAGACUGCAAGGCUUGAAUCUGGCAGAGGGGGGUAGAAUUCCACGUGUAGCAGUGAAAUGCGUAGAGAUGUGGAGGAACACCGAUGGCGAAGGCAGCCCCCUGGGUCAAGAUUGACGCUCAUGCACGAAAGCGUGGGGAGCAAACAGG